UUGGGAAUUUUUCCGCAAUGGGCGAAAGCCUGACGGAGCAAUACCGCGUGAGGGAGGAAGGCUCUUGGGUUGUAAACCUCUUUUCUCAGGGAAGAAAAAAAUGACGGUACCUGAGGAAUAAGCAUCGGCUAACUCCGUGCCAGCAGCCGCGGUAAUACGGAGGAUGCAAGCGUUAUCCGGAAUGAUUGGGCGUAAAGCGUCCGCAGGUGGCGAUGAAAGUCUGCUGUUAAAGAGUGAGGCUCAACCUCAUAAAAGCAGUGGAAACUACAUAGCUAGAGUACGUUCGGGGCAGAGGGAAUUCCUGGUGUAGCGGUGAAAUGCGUAGAGAUCAGGAAGAACACCGGUGGCGAAAGCGCUCUGCUAGGCCUGUACUGAC
rnacentral:rRNA from 1 species